GACGAACGCUGGCGGCGUGCCUAACACAUGCAAGUCGAACGGAAUCCGUCUGGUAGCUUGCUAUCGGACGGAAUUUAGUGGCGAACGGGUGAGUAACACGUGGGUAACCUGCCCUGGAGAUCGGGAUAACAUGGGGAAACCUGUGCUAAUACCGAAUGAACUGCCUUUCCCGCAUGGCAUCGGCAGAAAACGGUUAGCUUGCUUUCCGCUCCAGGAUGGGCCCGCGGCUUAUUAGCUUGUCGGUGGGGUAAUGGCCUACCGAGGCGACGAUGAGUAGCCGGCCUGGGAGGGUGAACGGCCACACUGGGACUGAGACACGGCCCAGACUCCUACGGGAGGCAGCAGUGGGGAAUAUUGCGCAAUGGGCGAAAGCCUGACGCAGCGACGCCGCGUGAGCGAUGAAGGUUUUCGGAUCGUAAAGCUCUGUCUUUGGGGAGGAUAAUGACGGUACCCAAGGAGGAAGCCACGGCUAACUACGUGCCAGCCGCCGCAGUAACAC
rnacentral:rRNA from 1 species